rnacentral:rRNA from 1 species
AUUGAACGCUGGCGGCAUGCCUUACACAUGCAAGUCGAACGGUAACAGGUCUUCGGAUGCUGACGAGUGGCGAACGGGUGAGUAAUACAUCGGAACGUGCCCGAUCGUGGGGGAUAACGGAGCGAAAGCUUUGCAAAUACCGCAUACGAUCUACGGAUGAAAGCAGGGGACCGCAAGGCCUUGCGCGGACGGAGCGGCCGAUGGCAGAUUAGGUAGUUGGGGGGAUAAAAGCUUACCAAGCCGACGAUCUGUAGCUGGUCUGAGAGGACGACCAGCGACACUGGGACGGAGACACGGCCCAGACUCCUACGGGAGGCAGCAGUGGGGAAUUUUGGACAAUGGGCGAAAGCCUGAUCCAGCCAUGCCGCGUGCAGGAUGAAGGCCUUCGGGUUGUAAACUGCUUUUGUACGGAACGAAAAGCCUCUUUCUAAUAAAGAGAGGUCAUGACGGUACCGUAAGAAUAAGCACCGGCUAACUACGUGCCAGCCGCCGCGGUAAGAC